rnacentral:rRNA from 1 species
UGGGGAAUAUUGGACAAUGGGCGCAAGCCUGAUCCAGCCAUGCCGCGUGAGUGAUGAAGGCCUUAGGGUUGUAAAACUCUUUCGCCGGGGAAGAUAAUGACGGUACCCGGAGAAGAAGCUCCGGCUAACUUCGUGCCAGCAGCCGCGGUAAUACGAAGGGAGCUAGCGUUGUUCGGAAUUACUGGGCGUAAAGCGCACGUAGGCGGGCUAUUAAGUCAGGGGUGAAAUCCCGAGGCUCAACCUCGGAACUGCCUUUGAUACUGAUAGUCUUGAGAUCGGGAGAGGUGAGUGGAAUUCCUAGUGUAGAGGUGAAAUUCGUAGAUAUUAGGAAGAACACCAGUGGCGAAGGCGGCUCACUGGCCCGAUACUGACGCUGAGGUGCGAAAGCGUGGGGAGCAAACAGGAUUAGAUACCCAGGUAGUCCCUGAGCGGGC